AGCAGGUUCUUUGGAUUCGGUAUGCGUCUCUCAGUCUAUUUAUGAGACUCCAUCAGCUCCACAACCAGGUAACCAGCAGAUCCCAAAAGAUGGCGUUUACUAUCUGGCUACACAUUCAGGAAUCCAGAUCACACGUUAACAUACACAAAAUGUCCUUUUUUUAUUUUCAGUUUCAUUGGUUUACUUUUUUGUUUGGGUUGAUAGACAGACAGACAGACAGACAGACAGAUAGAGAGAUAGAUAGGUUGGAACUUUAUUGAUCCUGAUGGAAAUUGCAGUGUUACAGUGGUAAAAGUGGUAAAAGACAAAGAUUCACAGAUAACCAUAAAUACAAUAAAAUAGCACAGUGCAAAAAAAAAUAAAAUAAAUAAAAUAAAAAAUAAAAAAUCCAGGUGAGGUAGAAUGUAGGCAAAAUGUAGUGGGUCUUGUGCAGCUCUGACCAGUGGUUGAAGCUGAGCUAAUAUCAGUCUUUCCAGGGUCUUCAUUAUAUGUGAUGUUAAGGCCACUGGUCGAAAGUCAUUUAGGACAUUUGUUUGCCUGUUCUUGGGCAUUGGGACCACACAUCAAGUUUUCCAUUUGACAGGAACCAUUUCCAGACUGCAGUUGAGAUUGAAAAUGCACUGUAGAAUUCCACUCAGUUGCUAAACACACAGUUUCAGAACCUUAGUUUUGAUGCCAGCUUUCUUGCAGCUUUGCUCCAUCUGAGUUUCCCCAGUUCCUUCUUCACCUGCUUGGCAGGGAAUGUUAUACGGUGACUGAGGGAAGGGGUGUGUGGGUCUUCCUUCAAGGUGUUUGAAGGUAAUUGCAGUUGGUGAGUAGCAGUGUGGGGUGAAGGCAUGGGAGGGGAAGAGAACUGCUGAUUGAAUGAGUUACUGUUGUCCAGAGAUGAGAGGUGUUGUUGCGUGAUUGUUGCUGUUUGAUAAUAAACAUCCCCACUUUUUAUAUUAGAAUUUAGUUGUAGUUCUCUGUAUUUGAUGAAUAUGAUGACUGUGAAGCCUGUAAUUACUAUUGGAAUUGUUAAAUUGACUGUUGACUAAUUAUGGCCAAAUCUAUUAAAGAAUAGUUUGAAAUA